AAUUAAAUCCAUUUAAAAUAAUCUUUGUCUGAAAAUAAAAUAUGAUCCUCAACUGCGUUUCCCCUCCAGUCAGCAGACGGCAAUGUGCGUCUUUCAGGCGACGCUGCCAGCGUGACGUGUAAUCUAGUGGACGGUUCUUCAGAAACAGCUCGUCAACCACCUCGGUAGCUGUCUAGCCAACAUAGCCGAAAGAUUCAAGCUAUUUAUACGCUUUUGGUGUAUAUUAGCUACAGUUUUAGACACACUUCUGUCGUAUCUACUUGUGAACCUAUUUAAUUUAAUAUUACGUUAUUUUGUAUUAGUCAGCUAUAGUAUCUAUCUGGUUAAGUUAGCACUAGCCUAGUCGCUAAUGAUAAUAGCUAGCUAGCUAACAUCCCCGAACAUGAGCUCCCUAAACAUCUCCCCUCUUGUUAAAGAAGAGGAGGUCUGCUGGACGGAGAAAGAAGCUCUGGGGCUGAACAUUGUUGUGAAAGAGGAGGAGGAUGUCACAGUAAAACAAGAAGUAGAGGGUGAGGCUGUUACAGUGAAAGAAGAGAACGACGUUUCAGUGAAAGAAGAGGAAGACGCGUUCAGAGUGAAAGAUGAGGAGAAUGUUACUGUGAAAGAAGAGGAGGAUGCCGUUUUUGGAGUGAAGAUGGAAGGGGCGAUUACUGUCACAUUGAAAGAUGAAGAGGUGGAGAUAGGAGAUCCGAUUAACACCAGAGAGAGACGGGACUACCGUGGGUCAUCUGGGAAGCCUCAACAACCUCAUGAUGCUGACGAGGCAGAGAAGAGUCUCUACAGAUCAGAACACGUCAAGAAACACCAGCGGAGAUCCACAGGGAAGGGAACUCCCUGCUGCUCUGACUGUGGGAAGAGAUUCACCUCAUCAGGCAUUAAAAUUCAUCAGAGAAUCCACACAGCAGAGAAACCUUACGGCUGUGAUCAAUGUGGGAAGAGUUUUGUUCAAUACAGCCAUCUGAAGAUACACCAGAGAACACACAAAGGAGAGAAAUCUUAUAGCUGUACUCAAUGUGGUAAGAGUUUUAGUCAUUCAACCAGCCUGAUACCACACCAGAGAACACACACAGGAGAUAAUCCUUAUAGCUGUGAUCAAUGUGGGAAGAGUUUUACUCAGCUAAGCAUCCUGAUAUCACACCAUAGAACACACACAGGUGAGAAACCUUAUAGCUGUGAUGAAUGUGGGAAGAGUUUUACUACAUCUAGAAAUCUGACUCUACACCAGAGCAUACACACAAAAGAUAAAUCUUUUAGCUGUACUCAAUGUGGGAAGAGUUUUCUUCAAUAUAGCCAUCUGAAGAUACACCAGAGAACACACACAGGAGAGAAACCUUUUAGCUGUACUGAAUGUGGGAAGAGUUUUAGUCAUUCAACCAGCCUGAUAUCACACCAGAGAACACACACAGGAGAAAAACCUUAUAGCUGUGAUCAAUGUGAGAAGAGAUUUACUCAGCUAAGCAUCCUGAUAUCACACCAGAGAACACACACAGGCGAGAGACCUUAUAGCUGUUCUCAAUGUGGGAAGAGUUUUACUCAGCUAAGCAACCUGAUUUCACACCAGAGAACACACACAGGAGAGAAACCGUUUAGCUGUGAUGAAUGUGGGAAGAUUUUUACUACAUAUAGAAAUCUGACUCGACACCAGAGAAUACACACAGGAGAGAAACCUUUUAGCUGUACUCAUUGUGGGAAGAGUUUUACACAGCAAAGCAACCUGAUAUCACACCAGAGAACACACACAGGAGAGAAACCCUAUAGCUGUGAUCAAUGUGGGAAGAGUUUUACUCAGCUAAGCAACCUGAUAUCACACCAGAGAACACACACAGGAGAGAAACCCUAUAGCUGUGGUCAAUGUGGGAAGAGUUUUGCUACAUCUGGGCAGCUGACUAUACACCAGAGAACACACACAGGAGAAACCUCUUAGCUUUGACCAGAGAUAAUCUGAUAAAAGAUCUUAGAUCAAAUAUUAGAAAGUACAUACAGGAAGGAGUUGUUUCAUGAUAUCAAUGAAUUACUGUCAAUGUUUUAACAUUGUACUAGGAGUAUUUUAAUCAUGUCACAAUGUAGAAGCCUAAAUGUUUGCCCCCUUAUCAAUUAAUAUCAACAUGAUAUGGAUAUUAGCGUUCGGGGGAAAAAUCCAGGCUCUGAAUUUAAAGUUGUGUUGUGUUGAGUUGUGUUACACUUACCACGUUGGUGACCCACUGCAGUUUAUAAGGAGCUUGUUUAAAAAAUACAAAUAACAUGAUGUUUGUGUAUAUAGCACAUUUUAUGUUUAGGUUUUCAAUUUAUCCCAAACUGUUUCUGCGUAUUGGUUAUUGAUUUGGACACGUUAACACUGUUUUGACAUCAGGCUUUCCCACCGAGCAAAAUGUCAUUGAAAAGACAUUCAAAAGAAGACUAUGCCCGACGUCCAAUAUACGUUCGGUUGAAAAUAUGUAUUUUGGGGUAAUUUUUUUGACUUGAAAAUAACUUAAUUUCAACUUACUUGCAGGUAUCCUAGUGGUUAGAGCGUUGGGCCAUCAUUGUAAGCCAGAAUUUGUUCUUAACUGACUUAUUUACAAUGAUGGCCUACCAGGGAGCAGUGGGUUAACUGCCCUGUUUAGGUGCAGAAUGACAGAUUUUUACCAUGUCAGCUCGGGAUCCAGUCCAGCAACCUUUCGGUUCCUGUUAAAUGAAGGUUAAAAUAAACAAAUAAAAACACAGUAUAACAAAUUGGUCUAUAAUCAAUUUUAUUAACCAUCUUUCAUCACUCCAGUAUUUCUUGACAACAUUCAAUUGCUAAUUGUCUUUAUUCCACUACUGAAGACACGUCUCAAAUCACCUCAAACAUUCAGCCUGACAAAAGAUAUGUUUUAUUAUUCAAUGCCUGACAAUUAAGUGAAUUAUUGCCAAUACAUAUUAACAAAGGGGUGUACAUUUGAUCACAAUUUAUUGUGACUGCAUGUUUUUCUGUAUUGGAGAUGGGUUUUGUUUGGACUCGUUCCAAGUGGACAAGAAGCUAGUGAGUUUUAGGAAGAUGAGAGUUCUAGAAGCUAAUGAGUUCUAGAAGCUAGUGAGUUUUUAGGAAGAUGGGAGUUCUAGAAGCUAGUGAGUUUUAGGAUUCUAUAGAAAGAAAAAUGAGAAAAUGGUAUAUUAUUAUUUAGAAAUGUGUUUUUUCUUGUUUUUAAUUGUUGACAGCCAGUAGACGCCAUGUUUAUAUUGGUGAAGGAGAAGCAUUGUAGUUGAUUAUAAUGUGAAAUGGAAGUUUUCUGUUGGUGGUAAGCA